rnacentral:misc_RNA from 1 species
AAAUUAAUAGAGAGAGAAGAUGUUUCAGAUGAUCUGCAGGAGGAUGAUGGUCAAUGGCAGUCAAGGAAGACUCCUAGAGGCAAGCCGGCCAAAUUUAUUGAGAGUGAGGAUGGAUCAGAUGAUCUGCAGGACGUUACUCAUUGGCAGUCACGGAAGACCUCUCGACGCAGGCAAGCUGCAUCUAUAGAAAGGGAAGAUGUUUCAGAUGAUCUAGAGGAGGGCAACACUCAUUGGCAGCCAAAAAAGACUCAUAGAUGCAAGCAAGCCAAGUUUAUUGAAAGGAAAGAUGUUUCAGAUGAUCUGCAUGAGGAUGAUNGGAGGAUGAUAGUCGUUGGCAGCCAAGGAAGACUCCUAGAGGCAAGCAAGCCAAACUUAUUGAGAGGGAAGAUGCAGUUUCAGAUGAUUUGGUGGAGGAUAAUUCUAAUCAGCAGCACCAGAGGAUUCUUAGAAGCAAGCAGAAGAAACCAGUGACGCUUGGCAAAAUGAAACGAGGGGCUGUUCAGCAUGUGAAACAAGGGACCUUUAGACUAAGAAAGAAAGAGAAUCUCCGGUCAGUCAAACAAGAAAAGCAAAUGAAGCCAGAGACUCCUCGGCUUAGAAAUGCUAAAGGUGAGCAUAAUGCAAGACAGUUCGAAUCACAUGUUGAAGAGGAACUAGAAGGUGGACCAAGUACACGCCUUAGGAAAAGGCCCUCAAAACCUUCAAAAGAGUCAGAAAUAAAGCUUAAAGAGAAGCUGCAAAGCAAUAGGAAGAAAGUUAAGAGUGGCUCAGCGGGUGGGCAGAAGAAUGUGAAAAAUAAGUUUGAGGAUGCAGAAUAUCAAUGUGACAUUGAGGGAUGCACCAUGAGCUUUGGCACAAAACAAGAGCUAGCAAUGCACAAAAAAAAUAUUUGUCCGGUGAAGGGGUGUGGAAAGACGUUUUUCUCACACAAAUAUCUGGUGCAGCACCG